rnacentral:misc_RNA from 1 species
CCAAAAAUCUGCCGUGAAACAAACAAAAACAAGCAUACAUAAAUCGACUUGCCACCAUAAAAAAAAAUAACCCCAAUUACUUUCGUUUGCAUUAAGGCAACAAAUAAAUAAGUUGGCCCCAUCAUAACUAUCAAAUAACUUAUAAUGUCCUUUGAUAGGUUGGAAAGAAGAAGAGAACCAACUUACAUUGUUUUGUCAGAAUUUGCCCAUGCAGAAGACUACAUAAUUUAUCUAUAUAACAAUUUUCUAGGUAUUGUUCUAGUAUAAUCCACGUUUUUGGUUGAUUUCUGAUGCCAAAAGAGCCAUUUGCUAGGUUCGAAUUUCCAAGUUCUCAGACUUCUCUGAAUGAGGCCCAUGAGCCAGUGAUUUGUACUCCAAGCUCUUAGAUUUAUCUAUUUCUUCUGUUAGAAAUCCAGAACUUCCUGAUCUCACCAUCUGCUCAACCUGGGUUCCAUGCACUGCUGUUCCAAUUUCAUUUUCAGUAUCAGUAGUCCUUUCCGUAUCUUGUUUGGUAUCAUCAAAAUUCUGUGAGAAAGGACUGGCUAAAAAAAGCUUUUCCCAUGCACCAUCAUCAUAUAAUUCCGGUGGAAUAAAUGGGGCAUGAUUUUCAAACAAAGAUGAAUUUUCAUCCAUAAGCAAUUUCAUAAAAUCAGGACUCAAGAAAGAAUCUUUCUCAUCAGAAAAAGUGUUAGAUUCUUCUGGUUUUUCUGAAACCAUAGGUGUAGGCAUCUCAUUCAUUUGUGGUGGCUGGUACCUUAUUAUCAUCCCAUCAGAAGCUAAUUGUUCUUCAUCUGCACCUUGUUCCACUAUGCUUCCUGGUUCAGCCAUCCGCCAGUUCUCUUUGGGGUGAAGCAACUGAACCAGAAAUCCUGGACUUUGCAUUACCAUAACUAAAAAUGACAGCAUCUGCUGCUGAUUUUUUUCCAUUCCUUGAAUUUUAUCUCUCAAGAGGAGUAAGUUAUUAUCUGCAUUUUCCUGGUGCUGCCUAAGAUUAAUCAACUCCUGCAUCAGUGCAUUUUUGUCAGUCUUCAGAUUCUCAAUUUUCUUCCAUAGCCCCUCAUUUUCAGUUUUGCCAAAAGGCUCAACUGAGCUAUCCUGCUGCUGCAAUUCUUUUUGAUUGACAGUGAACUGAGAAUGUUUUCUUCUGGAGAUGUUCUUUAACAAUUGUUUUUGAUCUCUGAUAAAUCCAUCAUUUGCAAACUCCCAGCGAUCUGUAUCAAUUUUCC